UGCGUGGUUCAUGGGUUUCCAGCAGCCGCAUCACCUGGGAACCUGUUAAAAAUGCAGAGUUCCAAGGCCCCGCCUCAGAUCCGCUGAUUUACACUCUGCACUUCGGCAAGAUGCUCGGGGCAUCUCUCUCUCUACGCAUGUUACGUGUGAAGAAACACCAACGCCCCCCCCCCCCCCCUUGUAGGACCUUUACAGCAAUCCCGAGAGAGGGUCCUGCACCUUGCCUGGACAAAACUGUAGAGGGGUUUCUGGGACACAAUCGGCAGCAGAGAUGAUGCCUGAGCUGUAUGUGGAGGACCACACAAAAGAGGCCGCGCUUGGUGUAACCUCCAGAACAAACGUUUGCAUGGCCGUGCUGCCGGGGAAGACAACAGGUUCUGAGACUGCGUUUCAACAGGCAGCCAGGCUACUCGCCAGUUCUUCAGAAGCCCCAUUUAUGUCCCUACAUUCAGAGAUCACGGGAGCCCAGGGCCAUGAAGAGCGCUGGCGUGUCUUUCAAAGGAAGUCCUUCAAGUUGGGUGUUGCAACAUAGCUUUGUAACUGUGGGGUCAAAAGGCUUAUUAUCUAGCAGUGAGGAACUUUGGGAAAUGUAGUCUUUCUCUGAGAGGUUUUGAGUCUGGCUAAAAUGUGGGAUUCUAUACCAAAUGAAAAAUAAAGGCAGCCGGGCGUUGGUGGCGCACGCCUUUAAUCCCAGCAUCGGGAGGCAGAGGCAGGCGGAUCUCUGUGAGUUCGAGGCCAGCCUGGUCUACAAGAGCUAGUUCCAGGACAGCCUCCAAAGCCACAGAGAAACCCUGUCUCGAAAAACCAAAAAGAAAAGAAAAAUAAAGACAAUGACCACUGGCCAAGAGUUAACAACCUCCACCAU